rnacentral:rRNA from 1 species
UACGUAGGUGGCAAGCGUUAUCCGGAAUUAUUGGGCGUAAAGCGCGCGCAGGUGGUUUCUUAAGUCUGAUGUGAAAGCCCACGGCUCAACCGUGGAGGGUCAUUGGAAACUGGGAGACUUGAGUGCAGAAGAGGAAAGUGGAAUUCCAUGUGUAGCGGUGAAGUGCGUAGAGAUAUGGAGGAACACCAGUGGCGAAGGCGACUUUCUGGUCUGAUAACUGACACUGAGGCGCGAAAGCGUGGGGAGCAAACAGG